GAUUGAACGCUGGCGGCAGGCUUAACACAUGCAAGUCGAGCGGGGAAGGGUCGCCUCCCUCCCUAACCUAGCGGCGGACGGGUGAGUAAUGCUUAGGAAUCUGCCUAUUAGUGGGGGACAACAUUUCGAAAGGGAUGCUAAUACCGCAUACGCCCUAAGGGGGAAAGCAGGGGAUCUUCGGACCUUGCGCUAAUAGAUGAGCCUAAGUCGGAUUAGCUAGUUGGUGGGGUAAAGGCCUACCAAGGCGACGAUCUGUAGCGGGUCUGAGAGGAUGAUCCGCCACACUGGGACUGAGACACGGCCCAGACUCCUACGGGAGGCAGCAGUGGGGAAUAUUGGACAAUGGGGGGAACCCUGAUCCAGCCAUGCCGCGUGUGUGAAGAAGGCCUUUUGGUUGUAAAGCACUUUAAGCGAGGAGGAGGCUACCGAGAUUAAUACUCUUGGAUAGUGGACGUUACUCGCAGAAUAAGCACCGGCUAACUCUGUGCCAGCAGCCGCGGUAAUACAGAGGGUGCGAGCGUUAAUCGGAUUUACUGGGCGUAAAGCGUGCGUAGGCGGCUUUUUAAGUCGGAUGUGAAAUCCCCGAGCUUAACUUGGGAAUUGCAUUCGAUACUGGGAAGCUAGAGUAUGGGAGAGGAUGGUAGAAUUCCAGGUGUAGCGGUGAAAUGCGUAGAGAUCUGGAGGAAUACCGAUGGCGAAGGCAGCCAUCUGGCCUAAUACUGACGCUGAGGUACGAAAGCAUGGGGAGCAAACAGGAUUAGAUACCCUGGUAGUCCAUGCCGUAAACGAUGUCUACUAGCCGUUGGGGCCUUUGAGGCUUUAGUGGCGCAGCUAACG
rnacentral:rRNA from 1 species